UGCGUAGGCGGAUAAAUAAGUCAGUGGUGAAAUCUUUCGGCUCAACCGGGAAACUGCCAUUGAUACUGUUUAUCUUGAGUUCGGUAGAGGUAGGCGGAAUGUGUAAUGUAGCGGUGAAAUGCUUAGAUAUUACACAGAACACCAAUUGCGUAGGCAGCUUACUAUGCCGACACAGACGCUGAGGCACGAAAGCGUGGGGAGCGAACAGGAUUAGAUACCCUGGUAGUCC
rnacentral:rRNA from 1 species